UUGGAGAAGAGAUCACAAACAUUCAAGAUUGUUGAGAAUGCAAUCACGGAUCUGGGUAACGAAGGAAAAGUGCUACAGCUAAGCCAUUAUAUGGACCUGACUGCGCAACCCAAAUCUCCAGGGGAGCUAGUGCGGCCACACCAGUCACGGUCCCCUUUUUACUUCAAGAUACUUAUCCGGCGGGAAAUCGAAUCUUAGAUCAUGAGAAUACUCUCAAAACAACUAUUAGCGCAACCCUGAGUGUGUAACAGUAGAUGUUUUUUAUUAAAAGAUAACAUUACAAAAA